rnacentral:rRNA from 1 species
UACGGGGGGUGCGAGCGUUGUCCGGAUUCACUGGGCGUAAAGGGCGCGUAGGCGGCUUACUCAGUCCGGUCUUUAAGUGCGGGGCUCACCCCCGUGAUGGGUCGGGGACGGGUAAGCUGGGGCGCGGUCGAGGGGGACGGAAUGCCGGGUGUAGUGGUGAAAUGCGUAGAUAUCAGGAGGAACACCUGUGGCGAAAGCGGCGCACUGGACCACAACUGACGCUGAGGCGCGAAAGCUAGGGGAGCAAACAGG